CCGCACUGUGGGUACUUGCUGCUCCAGCAGGGCACGCACAGCGUCCGUG
rnacentral:precursor_RNA from 1 species